rnacentral:rRNA from 1 species
CAAUAGCGUAUAUUAAAGUUGUUGCGGUUAAAAAGCUCGUAGUUGGAUUUCUGCUGAGGACGACCGGUCCGCCCUCCGGGUGAGCAUCUGGUUCGGCCUUGGCAUCUUCUUGGUGAACGUAUCUGCACUUGACUGUGUGGUGCGGUACCCAGGACUUUUACUUGAGGAAAUUAGAGUGUUUCAAGCAGGCAUACGCCUUGAAUACAUUAGCAUGGAAUAAUAAGAUAGGACCUUGAUUAUAUUAUGUUAGUUUCUAGAGCCGAGGUAAUGAUUAAUAUAGAGGAGGCAUUCUGGUUUAACUGUCAGACGUAAAAUUCUUGGAUUUUUUAAAGACGGACUACUGCGAAAGCAUUUGACAAGGAUGUUUUCAUUGCUUAAAGUAUAAAGGGGAUCGAAGACGAUCAGAU